AAUAAGGUUUCAGUGUAUAAGUGGGGGAUACACACCAGAUUCCAGUGAACUGAGAAAUAAACUUGAGAGAGAGGAAUUAAGAGACAGUAAAUGCAGCUGAGUUUGUGAAAAUAGGAGAGACAUAGGAGAAUAGCUAGCGUGGACCAUGAAUCAAUGUAAGAGUGUAUUAUGAUGGGAGAGAACUGUGGUGAGUAAGCCUAUACAGAUAUGGCUGGUUAAGAUAUAAAAGUGAAAUAUAAGAAUGAAAUGUUGGGCAUGGUGGCCCACGCCUGUAAUCCCAGCACUUUGGGAGGCCGAAGCGGGUGGAUCACUUGAAGCCAGGAGUUUGGGGCUGCAGUGAGCUGUGAUUGUGCCACUGUACUUCAGCCUAGGUUAUAGAGUGAGACCCUGUCUCAAAAUGAAAAUAAAAAUAAAAAGGGAUGAAACAACACUGAGGUGGUGAGAGAGGAUGGGGUAAGAAGCACAGGGAAGCUCAACACAGACAGCAAGAGAAGCAAGAAUGGGUGCACACAGAGUCAAAGUGUAUUUGUAAAGCAGAGCGAGUUAAAACAUUAGAGACAUUUCCUCCUUGCUUUCUAUUUACCCUGAAAGAUUAUGGUCUGAUAUUGAGAAUGACUGAGAAUGUAGCAUGCCAGUAGAGGAAGUGGAGAAAGCUUUGAAUAAUCAUCCCACUAAAUAGGAGAUCGAUCCGAUUACAGAAAGGAUUGCCAGGAAGUCAGGAAGGCCUGAUUGAGGUUGGGAACCAUGACAUCUUGGUAGCAAUAAUUUAUAGGAUUGAGUGACUUUUCAACAGCGACGUGCAGAAUUUCAGAUAGACACGGGAAUACAACAAGAUUGAUCCAGGAUCAGAAACUCUCUUGGUGGAUGCACUGGGAAACCAAGACUGGAGGAAGUUGAGAGCAUUUCUGCCAUGGAUUUAAAUCAUUUGGGAAGACAGACUCAUCCAGAUCCUAAAGGAAGUUUUACUAAAACAGCUCUAAGGGUCAAAUGGAAAGGAGAUCAUUCUCCAGAAGGCAGUUGACCGUGUCCCGGUGUUGUGUUCAACCUUAUAGUCUUAGGUUAUCUGGAAGCACGAUCUUCCCAUUGAAAAAGAAAAGGAGAACUCAGCUUUUCACAUAUACAUGUAGUGAUCCUUGACCAAUGUCGAUUCCCAGAUACACAAAUCUUCCGCACAAGCCCCAAGCACCCUGCUCAUUUUUCAGAGUUGAGCAUCUAUUUGUGGAACAUAUGUGAGCAGCCACUGGAAAUUUUCCAUUCUUUUGAAGACAGCCAAACAUUCAUUCCAGGACUAUACAUAUUUUUUAUUGUGAAAAAUGACUUGAAAAAUGCUCUUAGAGACUAAGUUUUUAAAAAUAUUCUGUUCUGUUACGCUUUCUUUCCUUUUCUUUUUUUUUCUGGGCAGAAAGAAAUACAAAGAAGCCUAAUUUAAAAGUAUGUUUAAUUCAGAGAAUAGGAAACUUUCUUUCUUAGCCUACUUUUGAGUAUUUCUGUCACAAGUGUAUUCUCAGUUCAGCUCUGAAGGAGUCAAUUUAAUUGGACUUGACCAACUGCUAGUGCCACUUAGCAGAUGCUGUAGUAGUUUUUUUAUUGUGUGAUCGCCCCAGCAUAUUUAUGGUUUUAGGUUAUGGAUUUUUAAAUUGUUAAAUUCUUACCCAGACUCACCAUGUUAACCUAUGCUCCAUCUGUAAGAGUAAGACCUCAACUCCUUGAAGAGAUAGGUAGAGAGAGAAAGAGGAAAAAAAUCCAGUAUCUUAUUGGAACCAGAAGACUGAAAGAGAAACGUGCUCCUAUAGAGUCAUCUUGAGAAGCAUGACUCAAAUUUAAAAUGGAGCAUUACAGUCCAGAGAAGUGUAGUAGGAAUGCCACCUUUACAGCAAUUUUCCAGCUUUAUAUUAAAUAAAUAAAUAAAUAAAUAAAUAAAUAAAUAAAUAAAUAAAUGGCUGGGUCUGCUGAAGUUUUUCACAUAUAAUGUAUAUGUAGAAAAUUGUAGCAUUCUAUUUACCUUGAUUUUGGAGCCCUCAAAGUAACCUGUGGAAUUUUUUGAAAUCACACUUUCACUGUAGCCUAUGGAAAGUUUAUACAGGCAUAUGUCACUUUUAGAGUUGCAGAGCUUUGUGCUCCGUCUGCUCAGCAGAAGCAGUAGAGGUUUUAUUACUGUCGAAUCCUAGCAGUAUAUUAUUUAAAAUGAAAACAAGCAAAAACAAACAAGCAGAAUUCUUCCUCAUCACACUGCUCAUAGUUUUCUACCUGCUAUACUGUUUCUUCCUUCCAUGAUUUUGCUAAUGCUCUUCUAUCUUCAUCUCUUUUUCCUGUGGUGAAUCCCAACUGAGGCCAUAAAGUUCAAUUCAAACAUUAUCUACUCCAGGAAGCCUGUUGUGCCCACCCCUCAACAAAAGAUUGAAUGAAUAAAUAGCAAGACUCCCCUCCCCAAAUUCUAUUUUCACAGAGUUUAAAAAGAAUAGUAUCCUUCAUGCAAAGAAUAUUCUACUGGCAUGUAAUUUAAACACCACUAUU
rnacentral:lncRNA from 10 species